GAUGAACGCUGGCGGCGUGCCUAAUACAUGCAAGUCGAGCGAAUGGAUUAAGAGCUUGCUCUUAUGAAGUUAGCGGCGGACGGGUGAGUAGCACGUGGGUAACCUGCCCAUAAGACUGGGAUAACUCCGGGAAACCGGGGCUAAUACCGGAUAACAUUUUGAACCGCAUGGUUCGAAAUUGAAAGGCGGCUUCGGCUGUCACUUGUGGAUGGACCCGCGUCGCAUUAGCUAGUUGGUGAGGUAACGGCUCACCAAGGCAACGAUGCGUAGCCGACCUGAGAGGGUGAUAGGCCACACUGGGACUGAGACACGGCCCAGACUCCUACGGGAGGCAGCAGUAGGGAAUCUUCCGCAAUGGACGAAAGUCUGACGGAGCAACGCCGCGUGAGUGAUGAAGGCUUUCGGGUCGUAAAACUCUGUUGUUAGGGAAGAACAAGUGCUAGUUGAAUAAGCUGGCACCUUGACGGUACCUAACCAGAAAGCCACGGCUAACUACGUGCCAGCAGCCGCCGUAA
rnacentral:rRNA from 1 species